AAAUAUUAAAGGAAUUUCAAACAACAUCCAUAAGGAUUAUUAAGAAAGAUAGAACCAAUUGGGAAAAUUACUGGUGCUGUUGACAUAAUAGAAAACACACAAUAAAUAAUAAUAAUAAUAAUAAUAAAUAAAUAAAUAAAACACUUUCCACUAAUAUAUCUUUGUCUAAUUCUGAAGGCAAAACUUAGUGACACCAUAUCAUUUGUAAUUUUACAUCUUUUUGUUAGACUCCAG
rnacentral:lncRNA from 1 species